rnacentral:lncRNA from 1 species
AUGGCCCAAGUUUUAGUGUCUACCCUGUCCAUUGAAGAUGAGGACUCCUACGAGAGCAGGAUGGUGGUGACGUUCCUCAUGUCAGCUCUUGAGUCCACGUUUAAAGAACUGGCCAAGUUUAAGGCCAAAGUGGCCUGCAUCACAGAGUAUAAAGCAGAUCUCUUUGCCUUCAGAACUGAAGGACAGAGGACACAAUUUUUUCAAUACCAGAAGGGAUUUUCAAGCCGAUUUUGUGAAAUAUUGUGUUGAAGAAGAAGAAAAGGUUGCAGAGAUGCAUAAAAUAAAGUCUACAACCCAGGUGAAUCAGAUGAGUGUAGAUGUUGUAGAAAUGGCAACACUCGGAAAAAAACAGUUGAGGACUAUUUCUGCUUUUGCUAGGGAAAGCUUUACAAAAACCCACAGAGGUACCUGUACCAUAUGAGAAGAUGCUACAAGACCAGUCAGCUUUGAUAGUACAGGGGCUUCCGGAAGGUGUUGCCUUUAAACACCCUGAGAACUAUGAUCUUGCAACCCUGAAAUGGAUUUUGGAGAACACAGCUGGGAUUUCAUUUAUUAUUAAUAGAUCUUUCUUAGAGCCAAAGAAGCCUCUAGAUUAGGGAUUGCUUUGCUUCCUUGAUAGCUGGCUGGCUUCCUAUCCCUCAUUUCCCUGGAAGUGGCAGCUGUGACAGUAAAGGAAGAAUCAGAAGAUCCUGAUUAU